GAUGAAGAACGCAGCGAAAUGGGAUAAGUAAUGUGAAUUGCAGAAUUCAGUGAAUCAUCGAAUCUUUGAACGCACAUUGCGCCCGCCAGUAUUCUGGCGGGCAUGCCUGUUCGAGCGUCAUUUCAACCAUCAAGCCCCCGGCUUGUGUUGGGGACCUGCGGCUGCCGCAGGCCCUGAAAAGCAGUGGCGGGCUCGCUGUCACACCGAGCGUAGUAGCAUACAUCUCGCUCUGGGCGUGCUGCGGGUUCCGGCCGUUAAACCACCUUCAUAACCCAAGGUUGACCUCGGAUCAGGCAGGAAGACCCGCUGAACUUAAGCAUAUAAAUAAGCGGAGGA
rnacentral:misc_RNA from 1 species